AUUAAGGUUUUAUCUGCCCAAUGAGGUAUUAAAUGGCCGCGGUAUUUUGACCGUGCAAAGGUAGCAUAAUAAUUAGUUUUUUAAUUGGAAGCUGGAAUGAAUGAUUGGACGAGAAAAAUAUCUGUCUCAGAAUAAUUUAUUUUGAAUUUUAUUUUUAAGUAAAAAAGCUUAAAUUUUUUUAAAAGACGAGAAGACCCUAUAGAGUUUAAUAAAAUAUUUUAUUUUAUUUAAUAGGAAUUUUAUAUUAAAAUAUUUUUUUUUUUAUUUUGUUGGGGUGAUAGAAAAAUUUAAUUAACUUUUUUUUAAAAAAAACAUUAAUUUAUGAUUUUAUGAUCCAUAAUUUUUGAUUAUAAGAUUAAAUUACCUUAGGGAUAACAGCGUAAUUUUUUUUAGAGUUCUUAUCGAAAAAAGAGUUUGCGACCUCGAUGUUGGAUUAAAAUAAAUAUUUGGUGUAGAAGCUUGAUAAUUAGGUCUGUUCGACCUUUAAAAUUUUACA
rnacentral:rRNA from 1 species